rnacentral:misc_RNA from 1 species
GAUGAAGAACGUAGCAAAAUGCGAUAAGUAAUGUGAAUUGCAGAAUUCAGUGAAUCAUCGAAUCUUUGAACGCACAUUGCGCCCGCCAGCAUCCUGGCGGGCAUGCCUGUCCGAGCGUCAUUUCAACCCUCAAGCACUGCUUGGCGUUGGCGGAUUGCGUGCCCUCGCGGCGCUGCAACCGCCCAAAUACAGUGGCGGUCCCGCUGCGGCUCCCUUUGCGUAGUAACUCACCUCGCACUGGACCGGGCGGCGGCCUGCCGUAAAACCCCAACUCACGAAAUGUUGACCUCGGAUCAGGUAGGAAUACCCGCUGAACUUAAGCAUAUCAAUAAGCGGAGGA